rnacentral:rRNA from 1 species
GGAGGGUGCAAACGUUGUUCGGAAUCCCUGGGCGUAAAGGGCGCGCAGGCGGACCUGUAAGUCAGGAGUGAAAACUCGGGGCUCAACUCCGAGCCUGCUUCUGAAACUGCAAGUCUUGAGGGCCGGAGAGGAGAGUGGAAUUCCUAGUGUAGCGGUGGAAUGCGUAGAUAUUAGGAAGAACACCAGUGGCGAAGGCGACUCUCUGGACGGUUCCUGACGCUGAGGCGCGAAAGCUAGGGGAGCAAACAGGGAUUAGAUACCCUGGUAGUCCUAGCCGUAAACGAUGAGUGCUAGGUGGUGGUGGUUUCGACGCCUUCACUGCCGGAGCUAACGCAUUAAGCACUCCGCCUGGGAGUACGGCCGCAAGGUUG